GAUGAACGCUGGCGGUAUGCUUAACACAUGCAAGUCGAACGGACUCUUCGGAGUUAGUGGCGGACGUGUGAUUAACGCGUGAGAAUCUGGCUUUGGGUUCGGUACAACCACUUGAAACGUUGGCUAAUACCGGUUGUGCCGAUAGGUAAAAGGGAAAUUGCCUGAAGAUGAGCUCGCGUCUGAUUAGCUAGUUGGUGAGGUAAAGGCUCACCAAGGCAGCGAUCAGUAGCUGGUCUGAGAGGAUGACCAGCCACACUGGGACUGAGACACCGCCCAGACUCCUACGGGAGGCAGCAGUGGGGAAUUUUACGAAAUGGGCGAAAGCCUGACGGAGCAAUACCGCGUGAGGGAAGAAGGCUCUUGGGUUGUAAACCUCUUUUCUUAGGGAAGAACAAAAUGACGGUAACUAAGGAAUAAGCACCGGCUAACUACGUG
rnacentral:rRNA from 1 species